rnacentral:rRNA from 1 species
GCCUCAGUAACGGCGAGUGAAGCGGCAAAAGCUCAAAUUUGAAAUCUGGCUCUUUCAGAGUCCGAGUUGUAAUUUGUAGAGGAUGCUUCGGCUUACGUUUCGGUCUAAGUUCCUUGGAACAGGACGUCACAGAGGGUGAGAAUCCCGUUUGUGGCCGAGACUUCCGCCAUGUGAAGCUCCUUCGACGAGUCGAGUUGUUUGGGAAUGCAGCUCUAAAUGGGAGGUAAAUUUCUUCUAAAGCUAAAUACCGGCCAGAGACCGAUAGCGCACAAGUAGAGUGAUCGAAAGAUGAAAAGCACUUUGGAAAGAGAGUUAAAAAGUACGUGAAAUUGUUGAAAGGGAAGCGCUUGCGACCAGACUUGCCCGCGGAUGCUCAACCGGUCCUUCGGCCGGUGCACUCUUCCGCGGUCAGGCCAGCAUCAGUUCGAGCGGUCGGAUAAAGGCCUUGGGAAUGUGGCUCUCUUCGGGGAGUGUUAUAGCCCUUGGUGUAAUACGGCCUGCUUGGACUGAGGCCCGCGCUUCGGCUAGGAUGCUGGCGUAAUGGUCGUAAGCGGCCCGUCUUGAAACACGGACCAAGGAGUCUAACAUCUAUGCGAGUGUUUGGGUGUCAAACCCGUACGCGAAAUGAAAGUAAACGGAGGUGGGAAUCUUCGGAUGCACCAUCGACCGAUCCUGAUGUCUUCGGAUGGAUUUGAGUAAGAGCAUAGCUGUUGGGACCCGAAAGAUGGUGAACUAUGCCUGAAUAGGGUGAAGCCAGAGGAAACUCUGGUGGAGGCUCGCAGCGGUUCUGACGUGCAAAUCGAUCGUCAA